UGAGCGAAUCUCCUCCUCAAUAUCUACCAUCAAAACAAAGAAAUGUUUGAACAAGUUAAAGCACAAGCAAGUGUCAAAAAUUCACAGGCAAGCUAAACACCAAGAACAUCAAUAAAUAUUAAUUUAGCAUCACAUUCAUUAUCUAAUACAGCAAAAAACUCUCUAUGCAAAUGCGCCCAAUAAUUUAGCUUACUUCAUCGAAGCUCAAUGAAAAUUCAUCAAUCCAAACCAAUAAAUUACAAAAAAUGAAUUGAUAAAUUAAAAAUAUAAUCUAAGGAAAUUGAUAAAUAAAGUAGAUAGUUCAGAUUGUUAGUAUCAAUAAAUCAACCGUAAAAUAGUAGAUCCAUAACCAAAAAUGAAAAUCCAAGUGAUUUCAGAGAUUCAAAGCAGAUAAAUAGCAAAAUUGAAAUAGAAAGAUUAG
rnacentral:misc_RNA from 1 species